CAGAUGCGAUAAGUAAUACGAAUUGCAGAAUUCAGUGAAUCAUCGAGUCUUUGAACGCACAUUGCGCCCCCUGGUAUUCCGGGGGGCAUGCCUGUCCGAGCGUCAUUGCUGCCCUCAAGCACGGCUUGUGUGUUGGGCUUCCGUCCCUGGCAACGGGGACGGGCCCAAAAGGCAGUGGCGGCACCAUGUCUGGUCCUCGAGCGUAUGGGGCUUUGUCACCCGCUCCCGUAGGUCCAGCUGGCAGCUAGCCUCGCAACCAAUCUUUUUAACCAGGUUGACCUCGGAUCAGGUAGGGAUACCCGCUGAACUUAAGC
rnacentral:misc_RNA from 1 species